rnacentral:rRNA from 1 species
UACGGAGGGUGCAAGCGUUAUCCGGAUUUACUGGGUUUAAAGGGUGCGUAGGUGGGUCUGUAAGUCAGUGGUGAAAUCUUCGAGCUUAACUCGGAAACUGCCAUUGAUACUAUAGGUCUUGAAUUAUCUGGAGGUGAGCGGAAUAUGUCAUGUAGCGGUGAAAUGCUUAGAUAUGACAUAGAACACCAAUUGCGAAGGCAGCUCACUACGGAUUUAUUGACACUGAGGCACGAAAGCGUGGGGAGCAAACAGG